CCCUUAGAUGUUCUGGGCCGCACGCGCGCUACACUGAUGCAUUCAACGAGUUUCUUCCUGGUCCGAGAGGAAUGGGUAACCUUUUGAAAGUGCAUCGUGAUAGGGAUAGACUAUUGCAAUUAUUGGUCUUCAACGAGGAAUUCCUAGUAGACGUAGUUCAUCAGACUGCAUCGAUUACGUCCCUGCCCUUUGUACACACCGCCCGUCGCUCCUACCGAUUGAAUGCUCAGGUGAGCCAUUCGGACUUUCAUCAUGCUGGUUUCCAGUUUGAUGAAGGAAAGUCUUGCGAACCUUAUCAUUUAGAGGAAGGAGAAGUCGUAACA
rnacentral:rRNA from 1 species